ACCCUCGCAGGGUCGCAUCUGGAGAGUUUCCAGUACUCUACCAGUCUUGACUGUGAGAGGGAAAGUCAAGCAGAGGAACCAUUCCAUUCCCAGCUUGGGCAAUAGCUAGUGAAUGGAAAACAAUCUGCUACAAGU